UGUUAAUAGACAAUCGACAUUAGAUUUGUUAUUUAAUUAUAGUGUUAUUCCCCAGCUUUUGCAAGGAUCACAGGGUUCAACUCUUGGCUUUGAAGAUCUUCGUUUUACCUCAAAUGUUUUCAACUUUUAAAAAUAAUAAAGAUCAUUUUACAAGAACUUUCAUGCCAAAUCCUAAACUCUUCUCCUUCUUUGCAGGCGGGGGCGAUUUCGAGGAGGUAGUCUGUCACCAAAUCCAGUGAAAAUUAUUGCUACUGCUGAUGCUACGAGCCCAACUGAAUAUCCAAUCCCCACUGCUGCCCAAGAAAACCAUGCUUCCUCUUCUGGUGUCUCCGCAG
rnacentral:misc_RNA from 1 species